rnacentral:rRNA from 1 species
AUUGAACGCUGGCGGCAGGCCUAACACAUGCAAGUCGAACGAGUGGCGGACGGGUGAGUAAUGUCUGGGAAACUGCCUGAUGGAGGGGGAUAACUACUGGAAACGGUAGCUAAUACCGCAUACCAUCGGAUUUGCCCAGAUGGGAUUCGCUAGUAGGUGGGGUAAAGGCUCACCAAGGCAACGAUCCCUAGCUGGUCUGAGAGGAUGACCAGCCACACUGGAACUGAGACACGGUCCAGACUCCUACGGGAGGCAGCAGUGGGGAAUAUUGCACAAUGGGCGCAAGCCUGAUGCAGCAAUGCCGCGUGUAUGAAGAAGGCCUUCGGGUUGUAAAGUUCUUUCAGUGGGGAGGCGUUACCCGCAGAAGAAGCACCGGCUAACUCCGUGCCAGCCGCCGCGGUAAUUC